CUACGUGCCAGCAGCCGCGGUAAAACGUAGGUCACAAGCGUUGUCCGGAAUUACUGGGUGUAAAGGGAGCGCAGGCGGGAAGACAAGUUGGAAGUGAAAUCCAUGGGCUCAACCCAUGAACUGCUUUCAAAACUGUUUUUCUUGAGUAGUGCAGAGGUAGGCGGAAUUCCCGGUGUAGCGGUGGAAUGCGUAGAUAUCGGGAGGAACACCAGUGGCGAAGGCGGCCUACUGGGCACCAACUGACGCUGAGGCUCGAAAGUGUGGGUAGCAAACAGGAUUAGAUACCCUGGUAGUCCACACUGUAAACGAUGAUUACUAGGUGUUGGAGGAUUGACCCCUUCAGUGCCGCAGUUAACACAAUAAGUAAUCCACCUGGGGAGUACGACCGCAAGGUUGAAACUCAAAGGAAUUGACGGGGGCCCGCACAAGCAGUGGAGUAUGUGGUUUAAUUCGACGCAACGCGAAGAACCUUACCAAGUCUUGACAUCCUGCGACGGACAUAGAAAUAUGUUUUUCCUUCGGGACGCAGAGACAGGUGGUGCAUGGUUGUCGUCAGCUCGUGUCGUGAGAUGUUGGGUUAAGUCCCGCAACGAGCGCAACCCU
rnacentral:rRNA from 1 species